GACGAACGCUGGCGGCGUGCUUAACACAUGCAAGUCGAACGGAAAGGCCCUGCUUUUGUGGGGUGCUCGAGUGGCGAACGGGUGAGUAACACGUGAGUAACCUGCCCUUGACUUUGGGAUAACUUCAGGAAACUGGGGCUAAUACCGGAUAGGAGCUCCUGCUGCAUGGUGGGGGUUGGAAAGUUUCGGCGGUUGGGGAUGGACUCGCGGCUUAUCAGCUUGUUGGUGGGGUAGUGGCUUACCAAGGCUUUGACGGGUAGCCGGCCUGAGAGGGUGACCGGCGAAGGUGGGACGGAGAUACGGACCAGACUCCUACGGGAGGCAGCAGUGGGGAAUAGUGCAAAAUGGGCGGAAGCCUUAUGCAGCAACGCCGCGUGCGGGAUGACGGCCUGCGGGUUGUAAACCGCUUUCGCCUGUGACGAAGCGUGAGUGACGGUAAUGGGUAAAGAAGCACCGGCUAACUACGUG
rnacentral:rRNA from 1 species